UACAGGAGGGUGCGAGCGUUGUCCGGAAUCAUUGGGCGUAAAGGGCGCGUAGGUGGCGGGACAAGCGUGCGGUGAAAGCCUGGGGCUCAACCCCGGGUCGGCCGUGCGAACUGUUUUGCUUGAGCACUGUAGAGGCAGGCGGAAUUCCGGGUGUAGCGGUGGAAUGCGUAGAGAUCCGGAAGAACACCGGUGGCGAAGGCGGCCUGCUGGGCAGUAGCUGACACUGAGGCGCGACAGCGUGGGGGAGCAAACAGG
rnacentral:rRNA from 1 species